AAAGAGUUAAGCACAGGGACACAUAUGAAGUCUCAGAGCCGGGUGUUGGUUCCGGUAGAGAUCGAGGGAAAUUAGUACCGAAGUCUGAGAUGGAAGAUGGCGAGAAAAGCUGUGUGUAUUUCUGAGGUGCCCGUACCGCAAACCGACACAGGUAGGUAGGAAGAAGAUUCUAAGGCCAACGGGAGAAGGGUUGUUAAGGAACUCGGCAAAUUGACCCCGUAACUUCGGGAGAAGGGGUGCUCCAGAGAUGGAGCCGCAGAGAAUCGGCCCAAGCAACUGUUUACCAAAAACACAGGUUUGUGCUAAAUCGAAAGAUGACGUAUACGAGCUGACGCCUGCCCGGUGCUGGAAGGUUAAGAGGAGAUGUGCAAGCAUUGAAUCGAAGCCCCAGUGAACGGCGGCCGUAACUAUAACGGUCCUAAGGUAGCGAAAUUCCUUGUCAGGUAAGUUCUGACCCGCAUGAAAGGCGUAAUGAUUUGGGCACUGUCUCAACAGCCCGCCCGGCGAAAUUGUAGUACCGGUGAAGAUGCCGGUUACCCGCGACAAGACGGAAAGACCCCAUGGAGCUUUACUGUAGCCUAAUAUUGGGUUUCGAUGUUGCAUGCACAGGAUAGAUGGGACUCUGGGAAACCAAGGCUUUGGCUUUGGCGGAGAGGCCGUUGGGAUACCAUCCUUGCGAUAUUGGAAUUCUAACCUGCGGCUCUGAAUCGAGUCGGGGGACAUUGUUAGGUGGGCAGUUUGACUGGGGCGGUCGCCUCCUAAAGAGUAACGGGGGCGUUCAAAGGUUCGCUCAGCUUGAACGGAAAUCAAGCAAAAGAGUGCAAACGCAGAAGCGAGCCUAACUGCGAGACUGACGGGUCGAGCAGUAACGAAAGUUGGAGUUAGUGAUCCGGUGGUAUGUGAGUGGAAAUGCCAUCGCUCAACGGAUAAAAGUUACCCUGGGGAUAACGGGCUGAUCUCCCCCAAGAGUCCACAUCGACGGGGAGGUUUGGCACCUCGAUGUCGGCUCAUCGCAUCCUGGGGCUGUAUUCGGUCCCAAGGGUUUGGCUGUUCGCCAAUUAAAGCGGUACGCGAGCUGGGUUCAGAACGUCGUGAGACAGUUCGGUCCCUAUCUGUCGUGGGCGCAGGAUAUUUGAUGGGAGCUGUCCCUAGUACGAGAGGACCGGGACGGACGUACCUCUGGCGCACCAGUUGUUCCGCCAGGAGCAUAGCUGGGCAACUACGUACGGAUCGGAUAAACGCUGAAAGCAUCUAAGCGUGAAGCCGACCCAAAGAUAAGAUAUCCCACUGAUUCAAUCAGGUAAGAUCCCUUGUAGACUACGAGGUUGAUAGGCACGAUGUGUAAGUGGAGCGAUCCAUUCAGCAAGUGUGUACUAAUAGAUCGAGGGCUUGAUC
rnacentral:rRNA from 1 species